rnacentral:rRNA from 1 species
CCAAUUUUUUUGGUUUGGUUUUCGGAAUCUGAGGUAAUGGAUCAAUGGGGGGACAGGCGGGGGCAUUCGUAUUGCGACGUUAGAGGUGAAAUUCUUGGAUCGUCGCAAGACGGACCGAAGCGAAAGCAUUUGCCAAGUAUGUUCUCGUCGAUCAAGAACGAAAGUUAGAGGUUCGAAGGCGAUCAGAUACCGCCCUAGUUCUAACCAUAAACUAUGCCUGCCAGCGAUCCGCCGAAGUUCCUCCGAUGACUCGGCGGGCAGCUUCCGGGAAACCAGAGCUUUUGGGUUCCGGGGGAAGUAUGGUUGCAAAGCUGAAACUUAAAGGAAUUGACGGAAGGGCACCACCAGGAGUGGAGCCUGCGGCUUAAUUUGACUCAACACGGGAAAACUCACCAGGCCCGGACACCGGAAGGAUUGACAGAUUGAGAGCUCUUUCUUGAUUCGGUGGGUGGUGGUGCAUGGCCGUUCUUAGUUGGUGGAGCGAUUUGUCUGGUUAAUUCCGAUAACGAACGAGACUCUAGCCUACUAACUAGGCGUACCCGGUAUCCACAAUCGUGCUACCGGCGAUCAAAUUUCUUCUUAGAGGGACAGGCGGCUUCUAGCCGCACGAGACUGAGCAAUAACAGGUCUGUGAUGCCCUUAGAUGUCCUGGGCCGCACGCGCGCUACACUGAAGGAAUCAGCGUGUCUUCCCUGUCCGAAAGGACCGGGUAAUCCGCUGAACCUCCUUUGUGCUAGGGAUUGGGGCUUGCAAUUGUUCCCCAUGAACGAGGAAUUCCCAGUAAGCGCGAGUCAUAAGCUCGCGUUGAUUACGUCCCCUGCCCAUAUAUA